GGGCGUGUAACUCAGUGGUAGAGUGCUCGCUUCGCAUCUUAGGUACUAGAAUUCCGAGAAAAGCCUGCGAGAAGUCCAGGGUUCAACUCCCUGCUCGUCCA